AGCAGUCGCCACGGUAAUACGUAGGUGGCAAGCGUUGUCCGGAAUUAUUGGGCGUAAAGGGCUCGCAGGCGGUUUCUUAAGUCUGAUGCGAAAGCCCCCGGCUCAACCGGGGAGGGUCAUUGGAAACUGGGAAACUUGAGUGCAGAAGAGGAGAGUGGAAUUCCACGUGUAGCGGUGAAAUGCGUAGAGAUGUGGAGGAACACCAGUGGCGAAGGCGACUCUCUGGUCUGUAACUGACGCUGAGGAGCGAAAGCGUGGGGAGCGAACAGGAUUGGAUACCCGCGUAGUCCCUGUCUCUUAUAC
rnacentral:rRNA from 1 species